rnacentral:rRNA from 1 species
UACGUAGGGGGCUAGCGUUGUCCGGAUUAUUGGGCGUAAAGAGCGUGUAGGCGGCCAGGUAGGUCCGCUGUGAAAACUCGAGGCUUAACCUCGAGCUGUCGGCGGAAACCAUCUGGCUAGAGUCCGGAAGAGGAGAAUGGAAUUCCCCGGUGUAGCGGUGAAAUGCGCAGAUAUCAGGAGGAACACCGGUGGCGAAGGCGGAUCU